ACUAUGAUAUAUCCGGUUUUGUUUAUGGUCUCAUGCUGAAACAGAGAGAAGUGAAGGGAUUUGAGGUGUUGGAGGUGAUCAUGGGAGCCUGCAGAUGUGGCUUUCAAUUGGAUUGUGGCCAAAACUAAAAUGGCAAGAACAUAGUUCUGUAAGGAAGCCAUAACUUAGUUGUUGUAAUGCAAAGAAAAGUGAUAUUCAUUUGAUUAUAUACAAGAAAAGAUGCUUAAUUUUCUUCUUUUCUAAAUAGCCAAGUCAAUGAAGUCAAUGAAAACAAGAGCCAAGUCAUGUGGGGCUGUUAUUCAUUGAUCACAAACUAAUAUUGUUUUGUUGUAAUGUGACUACAUUUGGCUAAACAAAAACGUUUUCAUAGGUGAAGGAUCAAAUAUGAACUCUUCAUUACAUAUAUUGUUCCCACAGAAUUUCAAAAUGUGUGUCUAACCACUAUGAGAAUUCCUUAUAACUAAUAUUAGUUCAAUAUAUUUACAACUGAGUCCUAACCAAAUAAAAAAAAAUACAACUUUUUAGUUGGACAUUUACUAUUGACAUAUUAUUUUUUUUAUUUCACGACUUGGUUGAUUGAAAUUAUUUUCAUAAUUACUCUAAUAACAAAUUUUGAUAUAAUAUUUAAGUAAGCUUAUCAAGUAUCUAUUGAAUAUUAAAUUCUAGUAGAGAAUGAUAUGUACUAAACUAUUGUUGAUUGAAUAUUUUAUAAUGGAAGGAAAUAAAUAUUUCAUUUCUUGAUUUGAAAAUUGAUAGAUAGGAGUUAUUCUUGCUUGUAAAAGAUGUUGUUACUAAAAUAUUUCUUUCUUAUAUUCUUAUUUUAUUUUAUUUUUAUCUGUAGGAUGUUCAUUAUGAAUCUUUGAAGAAGAAAAGGAAGGGAGAUAUCACCUCAAAUAUUUAUAUUUAAGAUAGAAUUAGUAAAUAUAAUAUAGUAAAUUUACAAAUUAGAAGGUCUUUUUAUUAAAAGCACC
rnacentral:lncRNA from 1 species